rnacentral:rRNA from 1 species
GACGGACGCUGGCGGCGUGCUUAACACAUGCAAGUCGAACGGAAAGGCCCCAGCUUGCUGGGUUACUCGAGUGGCGAACGGGUGAGUAACACGUGGGUGAUCUUCCCUGCACUCUGGGAUAAGCCUGGGAAACUGGGUCUAAUACCGGAUAGGCCCGUGCUUUAGUGUGUGCGGUGGAAAGUUUUUCGGUUCAGGUUGAGCCCGCGGCCUUUCAGCUUGUUGGUGGGGUAAUGGCCUACCAAGGCGGCGACGGGUAGCCGGCCUGAGAGGGUGUACGGCCACAUUGGGACUGAGAAACGGCCCAGACUCCUACGGGAGGAAGCAGUGGGGAAUAUUGCACAAUGGGCGCAAGCCUGAUGCAGCGACGCCGCGUGGGGGAUGACGGCCUUCGGGUUGUAAACCCCUUUCGGCAGGGACGAAGCUUUUGUGACGGUACCUGCAGAAGAAGCACCGGCUAACUACGUG